GUCAUCGUGUGCGCAUCUUUUCUGCGCACGUGAACUUGAAAAACUACUGCCGUAGUUUUUCAAGUUUUCCAGUCCAAUAUGGCGGAUUCGCGAAGAGGCUUGCACGGUGGCAAACGAAAUAAUUGCGGCCGGAAAAGGAAGUACGAAGGACGAAAUGCACAGAAAAAUUGGGACAGAGAACACAGAAGAAUAUUUGUAUCCUUGACGAUAUUUAAUUCUUGGAAAGAUGCCAAAAGUAUUGCAGGAUAUGAGUUACGUAGUGACAGUGAAUUUGCAGCACAUCUACUUUCACUGGAAUAUCGAAGAAGGUCUGAUGAAACAAGGGGAUACAUUCAGCCAGCUGAAUGCCCUGAACCAAGUUCGAACAUUAUAAAUAUAAACACAAUAGGCCAAAACGUAAUAUCAACACCGAUAAAGAAGACAAUGAAGGAUGUAUUGUAUAAACUU